UCAUCUCCAUCAAUGGUGAGGAUAGCAAAAUUUUCCUUGGCUAGGAAACGGACCUCAUGCCACUGGCCAUCAUUCAACCCAGAACCUGUGAACUUUGAAGAAGGUCACAUGUGACCAUUACCAAUCCAAUUAACUGGUCACUCUGAGGACUAGCCAGAGUUACCUCCCACAUUGAAAAUGAACAAAUGAGUAAACCAAGAUUCAACAAAUUAGAAGACCUGCUAGUAUGAACUAAGUUCUAAAUUCUCAAUAUAUGUUCGUUGGAUGAACAAAUGGCUUGUGUGGACUUCGGAAAGAGCAUUUUGCAUGCAGAUCAUGGAUUGGAAUGAGAGAUAAGACAAGAGGUACUAAUUGAAACUAGAUCAUGAAGGUCUCUGAAUUUCAAGUUAGGAAGUUUGAACUCAUUAACUAUAGUCAAAUGCUAUCCAUUAAAAAAAAAUAAAUAUUAUGUACCUACUCUCAAUAAAGUUUAUUAAAAAAAUUUUAAAAAGAUGUUUGAACAUCAUUCAGUAAGAAGUUUAUAGAAUAAAGAG